UACGAAGGGGGCUAGCGUUGCUCGGAAUCACUGGGCGUAAAGCGCACGUAGGCGGCUUUGCAAGUUAGAGGUGAAAGCCCAGGGCUUAACCCUGGAAUUGCCUUUAAAACUGCAUCGCUAGAAUUGUGGAGAGGUAAGUGGAAUUCCGAGUGUAGAGGUGAAAUUCGUAGAUAUUCGGAAGAACACCAGUGGCGAAGGCGACUUACUGGACACAUAUUGACGCUGAGGUGCGAAAGCGUGGGGAGCAAACAGG
rnacentral:rRNA from 1 species